UACGAAGGGGCUAGCGUUGCUUCGGAAUCACUGGGCGUAAAGCGCACGUAGGCGGCUUUUAAGUCAGGGUGAAAUCCUGGAGCUCAACUCCAGAACUGCCUUUGAUACUGGGAAGCUUGAGUCCGGAAGAGGUGAGUGGAACUCCGAGUGUAGAGGUGAAAUUCGUAGAUAUUCGGAAGAACACCAGUGGCGAAGGCGGCUCACUGGUCCGGUACUGAGCGCUGAGGUGCGAAAGCGUGGGGAGCAAACAGG
rnacentral:rRNA from 1 species